rnacentral:rRNA from 1 species
UACGAAGGGGGCUAGCGUUGUUCGGAAUUACUGGGCGUAAAGGGCGCGUAGGCGGUGUGUCAAGUCAGGCGUGAAAGCCCCGGGCUCAACCUGGGAACCGCGCUUGAGACUGGCACGCUAGAGUUCGGGAGAGGAUGGUGGAAUUCCCAGUGUAGAGGUGAAAUUCGUAGAUAUUGGGAAGAACACCGAUGGCGAAGGCGGGUCUCUGGGCAGUAACUGACGCUGAGGAGCGAAAGCGUGGGGAGCGAACAGG